AAAAUGCACAUUCUUAUAAAAGACACGAAGUAACAUUGAAAUUUCAAAAAGAUAGAAGCAUCCACAAAACUUUUAAAGAAAUGGUAGUUCGCCAUAACAGUAAUUUAAUUGGUCAAUACGGUUCAUGUGCCUACUUGUUUUAAAAUAUUCAGAAACGCAAAAACGUGUAAAUUUUGGAGGGGUGUUUGAAAAGAAAAGGGCAUUUCCGUCCGUAACUAAUUCAACACACCAUCAUAAUAUAAAUCAACUCCCUCUCAAAAUCCAAACCACAUUCAAUACCUUUCAAUUCUCACCAGCCGCCAUUUAUGGAACCGGAGACUGUCAUAAACCUCUUCGAUUCGAUGUGGUUCCACCUCGGGAUCCUCGAAACACCGCCAGAAACCUCAAUUUCACCGACUCCCCGCCUUCACACUCAACAGAAUCCGUCAAAUCUAAAGGUCUCGCGCCAAAUAUCGCUCCUUGCAAGAUCGAAGAGCGAUGAGCUGUCGAGCUUCGCAACGCAGGAUUCCUCUCCCGAUUCGGUCCUCAAACCCCACCUCCAAACCAUACUCUCCGACAAAGAGAUUUCAAUUCCAUCGGAAAUUCCGAAAAGUCCGGUGAUGAAGGAAGCCGUCAGACGGCGGCACGACAGGAGGAAGAAGCGGCUGAGCAAGAGCUUGUCGGAGCUGGAGUUCGAAGAGGUGAAGGGCUUCAUCGACAUCGGCUUCGUAUUCUCCGAAGAAGACAAGGAGGAUCCGGCGCUCGUAGAAAUGAUUCCCGGCCUGCAAAAAUUAGGGCAGAAAACGGAAUCGCGCGAUCGGGAAAAUGAAGAGAAGAGGAGGGUUGAGGAAGCUUCUAGAAUGAGAGCGAGGCCGUAUCUAUCAGAAGCGUGGGAGUUUUACAAAGAGGAGGAGCAAGCUUUGAUGAAAUGGAGGGUGCCUGCUGCAACAAAUGAGAUGGACAUCAAAGAUAGCCUCAAAUCGUGGGCCCACACAGUCGCUUCUGCUGUUAGAUGAGAUGAUUUUUAGAAAAGCUUACGUGUUAAUAUUCUUUUUUCUUUUUUUUUGUAAGUAGCGUUUGGUAUUGGUUUUUCUAAUUUUUCUAGAGUUCAAAAUUCAAAUUCUUUUAUUUCUUAUUUUAAGUUUGUAUAUAUCAAUUUGAGCAACCUUGUUGUAGAUUCAAAUAAAGCUAGGAACGCUCUCUUUCUUAUUCUAUUUACGAUGACCAUUAAAAAUAUAUAUAGUUUAUAUGGAUGUAUUUGUGUGCGCAUAUGUAAAUGGUAAGGUAUAUGAAAAUAUAAAGUAACGGGAGACAUUGAUUUAAAGAAUUAAAGAGAUUUCAUAUGCAUCAAGUAAUUCUACGUUUUGAUCAACUAAUACUUAAUUAAACAAAUCAAUAAAUAUACAAACUAUAAAUUGACAAAUACAUUUGUUUGGAGUUCGGGCCACUAUAAAAUUCACAAGUGAAUUUAAGGAGAAAAUUAGAAGUCAACUAUGAGUUUCAGCUUAGAACUUUUUUUUUUUUUGAAAGAUUCAACUUAGAACUUAUAAAAAUGUAAAAUAGUCCUAAAAAAAAAAGAACCAACUCAAAAAAAUGUAUAAAGAAAAAAAAAGUUACAGCAUAUUAGAACUUUAUUUAAAGUUGUUGAACCCAAUAUAGGCCCACUUUUAGGCCCAUAAUUUUGGUGGGCUCCUACGUACCUGGAAAUCCAAGCUCACUCCACUACAAAAAUCUGAAUAUAUUACAGGUAACGUGAAAAUAUAUUUAUAAGAAAAUGGACGAGUGGGUUCAUCAAUAAGACAAUAACUCAAUGGAAGAAUUAUCUCAAAAGAAAAAGACCAAGAUUAAACCCUAUUUAAUCAUUAAUUACUUCAUAAAACCGAACACUACCUUACACAUAUCUACAAAAAUAUUCAAAUAAUAAAUUAUCGUAACAAUUUAUAUUAUAAAUUUAAAUAUAUUUGAAUUACUUAUUCCACUAUAUGAAUUUGAGACAGGCACAACUCAAACGGCGAAUAUAAUUACUUUUAAAUGAAUUUUUAAUUUGCAUGAUUAUAUCAAUUGAGCGAUUUAGGAACUGAAAUGUGUUUGGUGGUCAGCGUUAGGUUUUAUUGUUUUAUCAUACAGUCGCUAUUGGAAAGACGAAUUACGUUUAGGAAUUUAGCAAACUUUCAUAAUUUAUAGAGCGCGAAUUCCUCAUUGCGCCGCCGAUAUGACGGAGCCGAGGCGAUUAAAAGGGCACAGCGCCGCCGCCACUUGUUGCAUCGCUUCCCGAGUCCGACCAGGCUUCAUCGCCACAGCCGCCGAGGUCACUUCCUAACACACUCUAGUUCAGCAUCUGCGUGUAAAAACAGUUCAAUUGAGCUCGAAUAACAAGUGUUCACAAUUCCCAUAUUUAAGUUCAGAUUUUCUGGCAUGCUCUAAUUUUUUUGGAUUUAACUUUUUCAUCUACUUUUUAAGUGCUGCACUUUCUUGUUUCUUAAUUUACUUUUUCCGUUAUAGGAUGGUCGCGUUUGCUUGUAUGAUUUGCGGUGCAAAGAUAUUCUGUUCUCUAUGGAUGUGGGGGAUGGGAACCCUGUUUCAUCUGUAUGUUUUAAGCCAGGUUUGUGAAAUUUCUCCUAUUUUUGGUGGUUUCUUAUUUCAUUUCUUCGUUCGUGUAUUUUUGUAGUAAUUUCUUAUUAUGCUGCGUCUGAGCCAUAGCGAAGCGAAUAUGUCCUAGCCUGUUAGUGGCGGAGGAGGUUGACAGUUCUAUCAAAAGAGUUUGUUUUGAUGUUUUCUAUUAGACCUGUUAUUAUUGAUUUUUGAUAUAUUCUUCUCAUAAUAUCUGAUGAGAUGUGAGACUUACUUUGACUACGUAAACUAGAGUAAUUGAUCUUAUUUAUUGGAGUGGAAACGUAAUACUGAUACAUGCUGGGAGUUUUGUAACAUAAUACAUGCUGCAGGGAAUGAAGGGAUCAUCUAUGUUUCUGUAGAAAACGAAAUCAAGUGCUUUGAUUUACAUGUGGUAUGCUUUCGUUUCACUCCUGUAGUGCUGUGUGUCAUUUCAAGUGUGAUUAAUCCUGUCUACCUUCUUUAGACAUAUCUUUUGCACAGUGAUGACAUUUUUGUGAUGUUGAAUAUGAUAAAGAUCUUAUAUGUUUGCCUAUGCAAAUUGAUUUUUAAAGAUGAGCAGGCAUCUGCUAUUAUUGUUGCUGACAUCUGAUUCCAUGCAUAAGAUUUGUGUUUUCGUCUGAUCAAUAUUUGUUUGUCAGAAACCAAUCACCACAAUCCAUAUUCUGUUAGAUUUUGCUUGAAAGUUUCUUACCACUUUUCUGAUAAUUUAUAGUAGUAUUUUAUUUUCAUUUUCUGAUAAAGGUUUUUUGCAUAAAUAAUGUCAUAAAGUUAUUACUAACAGUCCUGUACAAUAUGUCAGACAACUUCAUGCAAGCAACUUGAAAGUUACAAUUAUAACAAGGAUGAGAUAAAUCAGGUAUGUCACGAAUUAUUUUUUCCUGUAUUGACUGGUUGAUUAGGAAGCAUAUUGUUACUUGAAAAGGAAUCAGUGAUUAAUUCCAUAGUCUGACAGGAGUGAUCAACUUUUUUUGGCUAACAUCUUCUCCCAAUUCACUAUUAAAAAGUACAAUUACAACUGAUUUAUUGCCAUUACUCUAAAUUGUGUUUGCCGUUUACAAUGUGCAGAUUGCCUGUCACCCAAAAUCUUCUUUUCUAGCUGCUGCAGAUGAUGCAGGAGAUGUAAAGGUAUGAACUUUUGCUAAGGUUUGGUUUUAUGUGACAUAUGGUUAGGUUUGUUGGAUUGAAUAUAUCCUUCAGAAAUUUGAUGAGGAUAUUUUCAAAAUUAAGGACAAUGGCUUGUGCAGACUUUCUUUUGGCGCAUGUGGAUUUACCUGAACUUGAAUUUGAAAUAUAUCAAUCCAGGAAAUUUGAGCCUUAGGGGCCGUUUACUUUUGAGGAGUAGCCUUGAUAGAUAAAAAUAGUAAGGUUAAUCCCUUGUUUACUUAGAUGGAUUGGAACUUUGGGAUAUCCCAAGGCCCUUGAUUAUUUUUAUCAUUUGAGCUAAUUUUGCUUGAUUCAUAUCCCAUUGAAAGGUUGGGUUUGGAGAAAUCAUAGUCUUAGAGGAUAGAAAAACUCAAUGAUGCAUCUUAUCAAUCAUGCAAAAUAAAUUCCCCCUUAAAGAUUUAUUUUUGUCCAUUUGCCUUCAUUGCAGAUUGUUGAUGUUCACCAACGAUGUCUAUACAAAACAUUGAGAGCUGGUCACCAGAGUGUAUCCUUUCCUUUGUAAUAUACAUUGGUUUGCCAUAGGGCAUUCUGUUUUAAUUCAAUAGAUUUUCAUUUUCUUUUCCUUCCAAGCAUCAAUUCACAGAUCUGCUGAUAUCUUCAAGCUUUUCCUGUUGACCUUAAGUUUGCCAAGGUAGAGAGCGUUUGUUUGUUUCUUAUGAAAUUCCUUGUGUUUCUGUUUGAUGACUAAACUAUCUCUAAUGCGUGGCCGUGGUUAACUUUUUUUCUUCAGAUCUGCAGCAGUGUCCAGUUCCUUCCUUGGAGAUCUUGGGAAGGUAUUAUUAAUAAUAUACCUGAUUCUAAAUGAUUGUGCUUUAUUCAGUUCACGUCAUUAAUCUACAUUAUUUUCAUGUAACUUUUAAUCAAAAACUAUCUUGUACAAUUGUACCCCAUUUUGCUACGUAUGUAAGAGAAGUGUACCCCUGCUGAUAUGUCUUUAUCUGGUGGGCCUUAUUAAUAUGAUAUGUUUGGCUAUUCUGUUUUUUGAAGAUAAAAUGUUAUCUAUCAGUGUCUUGCGGUUUGCUCUCUGUUUCUAUGUUCUACUGUUCUACUUAUUUAUCUGCAUGUUUUAUUUCAUGUUUUUGCAGUCAUCACUGGUGGUCUAGAUUCAAAACUUGCACUUUGGGACUUCUCCAGAGGGCGUCCAAACAAAAUUAUGGACUUUGGUAUCAGCAUCUUUGCUCUCUGUUUAUAUGUUCUACACAAUGCUUCUCUUAUUCUGCCUCCUGUGAUAGUAACCCCCCCCCCCCAACCACACACACAACAAAAAAAGAAUGAAAAAAAUCUUAUAUGUUUGAUUUUAGUGUAGCUGGUUUGAAUUUGAAAUAGAUUUCUUAAUUGUUCAUGAGAUAUAUACUUUUUAAGUAAUUGUAUGAAGUUGGAUUCCAAAUUUCCACAAUAAAUAAAAUAGAUUCUUUAGCUUGAAUUAAUGAAAGUGGCCCUUUUUUCAGUAUUUAUCUUGCUAUCAUCUUCAUGCUUAAUGCUUUAAGUUGAGGUGACAGAGCCACUGUUUCCUUUUCCAUGAUAUUGCUUUGUUGUUUUAAACUCCAACUGUUAAUUGAAUAAUUCCAUGGUCAAUAGCCACACAGAUGCUACAUUAUAUCAUUGUGUAGCUUGCUCGCAGAUAAAUUGUAGGAUCUUGAUAAUCUAAUAAGUCUGGUAAAUCUGUUUGUUUUAUCAUGCAUGUACAGUUUUUAUCCCAUGCCUUUUGUAUUUGUAAUUUUUAUUCCAUUCUUAAUGUCUCAUACGGAUACUUUUGCAGGCAGUGGAGGCAAUGCAGGACAGUGCUAUAACCCAGCUUUUGUCCAUGCUCUAGUAGUUCCUGACCUUGAUUUUGUGGAUAGCGUUGGCAAGAUCUGUGUCGUGGCUAGGGGCGAUGGUGUUGUCAAUGUAAUUAAUCUUGAGCCUGAACUUACUUCUCAAAAAUCCAAAAAUUCAUCCAAGUCAAAGAUGGGUACUAAAUCACUACCAAAAGGCAAUCCCCCAACCGCAGACCAAAAUGACAGAAACCUGCAAUUAGAUUACUCGAUGGGUGGACAUGUCGCUGCAGUAUCCUCUGUGUAAGUGAUACUGCUAACUGCUGUACUAUGAUAGCUCCUUGGUUUUGGUUACUCUCUCUCUCUCCACACACACACUUAGAUUUAAAAGAAGUUUUAUUCACUGCCAUCGUCAUAUCUUAUUCAGGAGCUUUUCCAUGUUUGGAGAGAAAGGGAAGUUCAUCAUUUCAGGUGGAAACGAUAAGUCGGUAAAAGUCUGGGAUUGGUUGAAAUCUUGUGAUGGUGGUGAAACUAGUAACGGCGGCGGUGAUAUUCUAUGUUCCAGCAUUAGCCUGAGCAGAAAGGUGAGCUACAUGUUCUUGAUAUGUAUACUGAGCUUCUGUCAGACCUCACCCUUCUUUAGUAUGGCAUCUUUGUGAUUAUAUCUUUGUCUGCUCAGGUGAAUUGGCUCUGCACAACUCCAUCCGAUUCCGAAAAUCUAGUUGUCUGUGACACAUCUAAACUAGUAAAGGUUUAUACUAUUGGGUAAAUUUCCAGAAUCCCACAUUUAGUGGAUGAAUGAAUCCUCUGAUAUUUGAAGUGUGUUGAGAUCUGCAUUAAGCCUGCCUUGCAUCACAGUGAUGUUUAUGUUGUGGUGGCUGUAAAUUUAUUUAUUUCAUCUGCGACUAAGUCCCUAUGAAUAAUUAGAAUUACAACUGGUGGAGGCAACCUUGAAUUUGGUGGAGUAUGUAUAAUACUAUUAUUUUGGAUUUAGAACUUAUAAUUCUUUUUCUCUUUGAGAUGGUAUUCUGUGUCAUUUACUAGAUUAUAAGGUUUUAUUUUGGAUAUAACUGCAAUUUCCCUUCGACAUCUGGCACAAUCGAAAUAGGGUUUCUAUUAGCAACUUAUUUCCUAAUUAUAAUGAAUAUACCUAGGCUAAAUUUGAUUAUUCAUAGUAGUGGCAUUUUUUGCAACAAUCAGAAUAUUGUAAGGUUUAGAAACUAAUCGAUUACGUAUAGUUUUAUUUAAACAAUGCAUUCAAAUAGAGGAGCAAGCAUGAUAUCACGCUGAUCGUAAAUACAUGUAGAUAAUUGAAUAAAGUUAAUAAUAAAUUAUAUUUUCAUCGAAGAGGCUUAACUCAAGCGACAGAGUUAAAAGUUAAAACACCAAAAAUUUUCUUUUAUAAGGGAUCAUUAGUUCAAGUCCAACAAAUGUCGUGUGAGUUGUUUUAUGAAUUGUAUUUUCAUCUAUAUAGUUCAAGUUGUAAUAUCGCUGAAAAUGCAUACAAAUAAAGUUGAUUUAAAUUAAUGGUAAUUAUCACAUAUGAAAUAUAGGAAUUAGAAAAAUGAGAAAAAUGCAUGCUUGUAACUUGUAAGCAAAGACGCGCUCAACAUAUUGACAUAAUCAAUUACAAAAAACUAAAAUUAAAACUGCAACUGGGGAAACUAUGAGAAAUACUGAAAUAGGGAUCAAAGUCAAAGAUGGAAAAAGUAAAAGAUCUAAAAUUUACUGUAAUUCGAGAUUCCCGCAAAAUGAGGCCGUGGUGCAAUUCGCAUCAAUUUGAGGGAUCUAUUUGCGAACACCGAAAUUCACGAGGACCUAUCUGCAAUUCUCAACAUUUGGAGUCCUUGAGGCUGAAGGCUCGUUGGUUGAGUCAGUUGAGAUGUACCUCGCCAACCAUAACCUGCCUUACAAUUCCCGCAAUUUUUUUGAAAUCUUUCCACCAGAAAUUACAAAGAAAAGAAAAAAGAAAAAGAAAAAAGAUGACCCUUCUCCAUCCGCUUCCGCCUAAAGCUUCGUUCCACCAAACUCUGCUCCCUCUCAACAGCCUUUCCCAAUUUUAUUUCAUCUUCAUCAAACACCACAUUUACAUUCCUUGAUAUUAAUUCUUGAUAUAUAUUGCCAUACUUAGAAAUCUGGUAUUUCCAGCCUGAGCGAGAACAGCCAUUUGCAGAAGGUGGCAAAGUGAAGAUGAUGGAAUCUGGGAUUCCCAUAUGCAACACUUGUGGUGAACAAGUGGGAUUAAACGCCAAAGGCGAAGUGUUUGUGGCUUGUAAUGAAUGCAAUUAUCCCAUCUGCCACCAUUGUUUCGAUUACGAAAUCAAGCAAGGCCGUAGCGCCUGCAUCCGCUGUGCCACUCCUUAUGCUCAUGGUAUUUACUCUUUCUAUUCUGCUUUUACUCAUGUUUCACUUUAUCACCGUUUUCAUGCAUUUGAGAUCUGAUCUUAGUGAUAUCAUUUUUUUUAGAAUAAUAUUUUUAGAAUUAAUUAAAUGAACAGAUGGUGCAGCAGUGGCUGAAGUUGUAGUUGAAGAAUCUGUCCAUCAUAUUCCAAUUGUACAUACUGCUCAGGUAUGAUGUGCUAAGAUUAUCAUAAUGUUUUUGUUCAUGCAGUAUCAAAGAAAUUAUGGAGUGAUUAUAAAAUUUGGAUGUAAAAUAAAAAACAAUGUUUAUUGGAAUCUCAAAGUUAGAAAUAUUGCAGGAAACUGGAGUUCAUGCUAGAAAUGUGAGUACUGUUUCCACAAUAGACAGUGGUGAGUAAACAGAUUUAACAGUAAUGAACUAAAAUAUAUCUGCCUACAUUGUUGGAUGAGAAAUUUAUGAACUUAUAUAUUCUCUUGUUUUCAAGAAUACAUGGAUGAAUCUGGAAAUCCGAUAUGGAAGAAUCGGGUGGAAAGUUGGAAAGACAAGAAGAAUAAGAAGAGCAAAGCUCCGAAAAAGGAUAAAAAAGCAGCAGAAGUUCCACCUGAUCAGCAAAUGGAUGACAAACCUCAGUAAGCACACUGAAACUUGCUUCAUUUCUGAACAAUUUAGUAAAACUAAAUUACUAUAAAUAUUGUUACAAAAAAUUUGCAGGUCAGUGGAUGCUUCUCAACCACUCUCCAAAGUAAUUCCUAUACCAAAAACCCAGCUCACAUCAUACAGAGUUGUGAUCAUCAUGCGUCUCAUCAUCCUCGCCCUUUUCUUCCAAUAUCGCGUGACACAUCCUGUUGAUAGCGCCUUCGGCCUGUGGCUGACUUCUGUCAUCUGUGAGAUAUGGUUCGCCUUUUCUUGGGUGCUCGAUCAGUUCCCCAAAUGGUCUCCCAUCAAAGAGAGACCUUCAUUGACCGCUUGUCGGCUAGGUCUCUUCUCUUUCAUCUUCCAUUCUUCUUCUUCUUCACAUUGGCAUUACAAAAUCUGAUGAUGUUUUAGGUAUGAGCGCGAGGGGGAGCCGUCUGAGCUCGCUGCUGUGGAUUUCUUUGUGAGUACAGUGGAUCCAUUGAAGGAGCCUCCUUUGAUAACAGCAAACACAGUCCUCUCAAUCCUCGCAGUGGAUUAUCCAGUUGAUAAAGUGUCUUGCUAUGUAUCCGAUGAUGGUGCAGCCAUGCUUACAUUCGAGUCUCUCGUAGAGACUGCUGAUUUUGCAAGGAAAUGGGUGCCCUUCUGCAAGAAAUUCGCCAUUGAGCCUCGUGCCCCGGAGUUUUACUUCUCACAGAAGAUCGACUACUUGAAGGAUAAAGUCCAACCUUCCUUUGUCAAGGAGCGUAGAGCCAUGAAAGUAAGUGAAUUAGUUGUCAUUCAUUCAUUCAUUCGACAAAAUUUAUCUGAGAAUGACCCUUUCUUCUUGUUGGUGUCACAGAGAGACUACGAAGAGUAUAAAGUGCGGAUAAAUGCUUUAGUAGCAAAGGCCCAGAAAACACCAGACGAAGGGUGGAUCAUGGCAGAUGGAACAUCUUGGCCCGGGAACAACUCACGCGAUCAUCCCGGCAUGAUUCAGGUGUUUUUGGGAAGCACGGGCGCACACGAUACAGACGACAAUGAGCUGCCGAGGCUGGUUUAUGUGUCGAGAGAGAAGAGACCUGGCUACCAGCAUCACAAGAAGGCUGGUGCAGAAAAUGCUCUGGUAUGGAUAAUGGAUGCCUUUCUGUUUUUACUAGUAUAUAUUUGUGAGCCAUCGGAGAUGAUGAUGUCGAUGUUCAUGAACUUGUUUCAGAUAAGAGUUUCGGCGGUUCUCACAAACGCACCAUACAUACUGAAUCUUGACUGUGAUCACUACGUGAACAACAGCAAGGCUAUCCGCGAGGCAAUGUGUUUCUACAUGGAUCCUCAAGUAGGCCGCGACGUCUGCUACGUGCAGUUCCCGCAGAGGUUUGAUGGCAUCGACAAGAGCGAUCGAUAUGCCAACCGCAACACUGUCUUCUUCGACGUAACAUUUCCACUCCUUUUCACCAUCUGUAAUCACAAAGACUUAAACCACCAACUUCACUAAAUCAUCACUACUUGCUAUUUACAGGUGAACAUGAAAGGCUUGGAUGGAAUUCAAGGACCAGUCUAUGUCGGAACAGGAUGUGUUUUCAACAGACAAGCUCUGUACGGCUAUGGCCCUUCAAAUCUACCCCUCUGCCUAACAAGUCUUCAUCUUCAUCAUCAUCGUGCUGCUGCUGCUGCCGCGGGAAGAAGCCCGCCAAGGAGAAGGAUUUCGCGGAGACUUACCGCGACGCGAAGAGAGAAGACCUCAACGCCGCCAUAUUCAACCUGAGAGAGAUCGACAGUUACGAUGAGCACGAGAGGUCGUUGCUCAUCUCCCAGAUGAGCUUCGAGAAAACCUUCGGGCUGUCGUCGGUGUUCAUCGAGUCGACGCUGCUGGAAAACGGAGGAGUCGCGGACUGGGCGAAUCCAUCGCUGCUGAUAAAAGAAGCGAUCCAUGUGAUAAGCUGCGGGUAUGAAGAGAAGACUGCGUGGGGGAAAGAGAUAGGUUGGAUCUACGGGUCGGUGACGGAGGACAUAUUGACGGGAUUCAAGAUGCAAUGCCGCGGGUGGAGAUCGAUCUACUGCAUGCCGUUGAGGCCGGCCUUCAAGGGCUCGGCGCCGAUCAAUUUGUCCGACAGGUUGCACCAAGUUCUGCGGUGGGCGUUGGGAUCAGUGGAGAUCUUCCUCAGUCGACAUUGCCCUCUCUGGUACGGCUUCGGCGCCGGGCGCCUGAGAUGGCUGCAGCGCCUCGCCUACAUCAACACCAUCGUUUACCCUUUCACCUCUCUCCCUCUCGUCGCCUACUGCACGCUCCCUGCUAUAUGCCUCAUCACCGGCAAAUUCAUCAUCCCCACGGUUAUUUUGACCUAAUAAUUUAUGUGCCUUUUCAAUUUUCAACCAAACCUAACCUAAUUUUGAUUUUAAUUGUUUUGAUCUGAUCUCAGCUGUCGAAUCUGGCGAGCGUGCUGUUCCUAGGGCUGUUCAUGUCGAUCAUCCUGACGAGCGUGAUCGAGCUGCGGUGGAGCGGCGUGAGCAUCGAGGCGCUGUGGAGGAACGAGCAGUUCUGGGUGAUCGGGGGCGUGUCGGCGCACCUCUUCGCGGUGUUCCAGGGGUUCCUGAAGAUGCUGGCGGGGCUGGACACCAACUUCACGGUGACGUCGAAGGCGGCGGACGACGGGGAGUUCGCGGACCUGUACGUGUUCAAGUGGACGACGGUGCUGAUCCCGCCGACGACGAUCCUGGUGAUCAACCUGGUGGGGGUGGUGGCGGGAUUCUCGGACGCGCUCAACAGCGGGUACGAGUCGUGGGGCCCGCUGUUCGGGAAGGUGUUCUUCGCCUUCUGGGUGAUUCUUCAUCUGUAUCCGUUCCUUAAAGGUCUGAUGGGCCGGCAGAACCGCACUCCUACCAUUGUUGUGUUGUGGUCGGUGCUCCUGGCCUCUGUUUUCUCUCUCAUCUGGGUCAAGAUCGACCCCUUCGUCUCCACCAAUGAUGCAUCGGCUGCAGCGCAGAGCUGCAUCUCCAUUGAUUGUUAACUUGGUUACUUAAAUCGCAAUAAUGGAACUCCUAAGUUGAUAGUGGUUGAGAUUUUUGGGAUUUUGAUUUUGAUUUUGUCAAAGAAUGAGAUGCUGUAAAUGUGAAGACUAUUCUAGUUUAAUGUGAAAGACGUGGAUUUGAAGGAAGAAUUUCAGUGUUAUGCUAGUAUUCAUUAUUGAGUUUUGUAAUGGGUUCGAUUAAAGAAGAAGUUGCCGUAACCACGAAUUUGGAUUGCUGAGAAAUAUAGUACUACUACUACUUGAUUUGGGAGCAUGUAAAUGGAGUAUGUAAUGUAAUAAUGAAGGUCUAGCCUUUGAAAGUUUUCUUGUAUUUCCCCUAAAAUGAUUUAAUGGGGGUGGUGCUUUUGCUUCUAAGAAAUUAGUACUCUACUAGUAAUUCGUAAUAUCAUGGUUAUGUUUGUGUGAAGCAAUAACUGUAGAUUAACCAUUGGUUUUGGGAACAUUAAUUAUCGGUAAUAAAUGACGUGACAUUAUUCUUAUAAAACAAAGUAAAAAUUUCCAACCUGAGAUUACCUGUUUCCAGCUAUAUAUAUAUAGGUAACGCGUAUGGGGUUUCGGACCCUCAACAGUAGGUACUCCUCCUGUCUCCAGUCUUAUGUUUAGUUCAAUAAUUAUUCUAAUGGUAAUGGAGAAUAUUGGCAGGUCAAUAAGUCCUAAACCUCUCUUGGUAUUAGAGCAUCCGCAUUGGGGAUUUCUUGAUAGCCUACUUGAUAGUGUUUGUGUUAUUGAGUAGGUAGUGUUGCAUUGGGGUUCCUUGAUAGCCUACUUGAUAAUAUUAGUUUUUGAUUUUAUGUUUUUCAUUUAAAUUUAAUUGCUCAAAUUUAAAUAACACAAUUUAUUUCAAAUUUAAAUUGCAUUAAUUAUAAAAAUCCUAAAUAUUACAUAAAACUUUAAUAAAAUAAAAAAAAUAAAAAAAAAACAAAAUAAAAACAGCCAUUGAAAAUUAAAAUAUAUAUAUAUUUUUUUAAUUUGAGGCUCGAGUACUACGCGAUUACUCGAGUAGUACUCGAGGAGACAUUAGUUGCAACGCCAUGCUCGAGGAUGGUACAUUACUCGAGUGAUGCUCGAGGAGCCCGCGAUGCGGGUGCUCUUAGUAUAAGUGGUUCAAAAUAUUUCGACAUUAAAACUAAAAAGAAUAUAUAAAUUAAUUAAAAAUAGUAGUAUCUAUAUUUUUUUAAUACUUUAAUUAAAAUUUUCAAUUUAUGCAAACAUGCCACUUAUAAUGGCGGUCCAAAAUAAAAUACAUAUAACUUUUAAUGAGACGGAGGAAAUGAUAGUUAAUUUUAAUUUUAGUAUAAUAAUAUGUAAAAUUUAAAUUUAUUUUAAUUUUUAUAUGAAAUUAAAAUUUUCGAAUUAAAAGUUGAUGGGAAGUUGGAAUUUGUCGUCCAACAAUCAAAUCCCAAUCGACUUAAUAAAACGUACACCAUGAACGAUUACCCACAUCAAGCAAUUCAAUUCUACAAUUUGAUAAUUUUUUGAAGUGUUGGUGCGAAUAAAUUCAAUGUUUUCGUUCGCUAUGAAGUUUGUCUCUACAUGAAGAUGCAUUGCGAUAUGUGAGCUCAAGUGAGUAGACCUUAGUUGCUCUUCUAAUAGCCUUAGAGCAUCCACAAUGGUGGUGUCUUAGAGGGGUGUCUUAGGAGUGGGCCCCACCUAAGACACACCCCUCUCCAAUGCAUUGUGUCUUAGGUGGGUGCUUAGAUCCCCAUUUCCACAAAAUUCAUAUUUCUACACUUUUAUUUUUAAAAUUCAAAUUUCAUUAAAAUUAAAAUUCUACAUUACAAUAAUUUAAAUAAAAUUAAAAAUAUAAUUAAAAUACGCUAAUAAAAUAAAAAAUAACAUAAUUUCCUAAUUUAAAUAAGCCCUCGACGCUUGAGCACUUCUUGGACUAGGUGGUUGUGCAAAGCCAAUUGUGCAUCCGUCAUACCCGUCGUAUCCUUGUUCAAGAGCUUCAUAUUCAUCUCCUCUCGUUUCAUCUCGGCUUGCAUUUUUUUGGCCUCGGCGAUUACCCCCGUUUUUAGAGCAUGCUCCUUCAUGCUUUCGGCCACCUUCUCGAGGGCGUCGGAGAACGCCGAUCCUCCUCCCGAAGACCCUUCUCCCUUUUUUGCCUUGCCCUUGUCUCGCUUUGCCGCUUUUUGGCCUUGGGGUCUCGCCGUGACACUCGGCUCCGAAGAAGUAGUGGUUGCUUCACCAUCGGAGCCCUUCGACUUUUUGGCGGAGUGGACAUCCCGGCUUGCGACGUGAAUCUUUGGCAGUCACGAAGCACUUUCCAAGCUUUGACGUAGGAGAAUUGCUUCUUGAAAUUCGCCUCGAACAUCGUCUGGGUUUGUUAGAAGAUUUGAUCGUCGCUCAUACCACUCCCCCAAUUGUCCUUGCAGGUGUUGUAGAAGCCCUCGAAAAAUUUUGUCUCCUUUUGGACACGGGCGAAGUGGGACUUGAGAUGAUCCGGCUUUCGCGGCGGCGCUCCUGACGUAUUGAGCGCGUUGACCUUCUCGGCGAUUGCUCCCCAAUAUUGGAGCAACUUUUGGGAGGUCCCCAAAAUAGGAUUGUGGGUUGCCUCCGCCCACAAUAUUGCCACGAGCUCGGUCUCCUCGCUAGAAUAUGCAGCGCGGGUGCCCUUGGCUUUCGGUUUCACCUCCUCCGGCUCUUCUUGAACGUUGGCGUUCGCCGCCGGCGUAGGAACAUUUCCUGUAGCCAAGACAUUCGAGGCUUGUGAAAAUGGAGCAAACCCCAUCAUUGGAACCCUCGAUCCGCCUUGUUGCUCCAUGUAUUCAUCGAAUUCACGAUCCAUCUUUCGAAAUGUAGAAGAGAGAAUUGUUUUUGGGAGAGAAUUGUAGUUGAAGAUGUUGGUGAAUUUGAAAGAAUGGAAGGAAGAGUGGUAUUUAUAGAAGGGGAAAAAAGAAAAAAAAAGAAAAAUCAAAAUAGCCGUUGAAUUUGCAACGGUCGUUUUUUUUUUUAAAAAAAACAAAAACAAAAAUUGAAAACGGUCGAAUUUUGCCAAAAUUACCGAUUUUUGUAUUUUUUUUUUAAAUUUGAGCGCGUCCUGACCGCCAUCUCUUCUCCUCUCUCGCCCCGUGUUGAAGCCUCGACCCCGCCUCGCAUCUGGGCGCCCCUCCAGCGUGCGGCCGCCUCCUUCGCCCCGGAUCGACACCGGCUUUGCCGCUGCCGCUGUGGAUGCUCUUAAUCGGCCGAAGAGUCUCGAGAAAGAAAUGAAGAUUGAAAUUUAGGGAAUGAAAUUUGGGAAAUAAUUAAUUAAUUGAUCUCUAAUUAAUAUUUGUGGAAUGUUACGUUAACAUCAACACUUGUCUCGUCAAUUAGAAUUUCCACGUCAAAUUUAAAGGAAUGGUUAGAAUUUUCACAUCAAAUUUAAAGGAGUAACAAAUAAAAAAAUUACACAUUAUUAUAUUAAAAUUAAAAUUCGUGUACAAUUCAAAAAUUAAUUCAUAAUUUGUGUAUUUAUAGUUAAAUACCCUUUGUUUUAAAUUGCCCCUUUUCCUAAUUUUAACGAUUUAGUUUAAGAGCACUCCUUUUCUUUUCUCGGCUCGAUCGGUCUUGGAACUUGCGUUUGACUAAUUAAUCACUGACCUACAGCGAGUGUUUGAGGUGUGUGUCUUUAGAAAAAUGAAUUGAUAUAGAUUUUGUUAAUACUUUCUUCCUCUUACAGAAGGUAAGUUUCUGCAAACAUUCCAAAAUUGCGGUUUUAUGUAGUUUCUUAUUCUUAUUCUUUACAAUAAAAUUUUGCGAUCACAUUAUUAUAACCGAUUAAGAGAGAUACUAGUUUAAUAAAUAUGAAAUGAACAGAAAAAAGAAAAUUCUGUGUAAUGCUCAAAUGCUUUUAUAUAAUAAUUCUUUUACUAUUAAUUCUAGAAAUAGAAUGUAACUAUUAGUCAAACACAUAACAGUCAUAAAAAAAAGUUAUACAUUUAGAUGAAUUAAUUAUUUUACUAAAACAAUUUAAAAUGAAUCGAUUUUUAUUUAAACCAGAGUUAUUACUAGUCAUAUCGAGGCCAAAUAACAUGACUCCGUUCUGUAACUAGAUUUUAGGCAUAUUCAGUUGUUUUCCAGAAAAAAGUUACAAAAUUCAUUUAUAUAUAGGAGUAACUAAAGUACGUGCAUACAUAAAGAAAUUUAUGUAUUCAUAUAUCUUUUCAACUACAUAAAAUAUAAUUUAAUACGUUGUUGAGAUAUAAACUCUUUAUGUAUCCAUUAAUUAUCUUUUCAAAUACAUAAAAUACUAAUUUUAUUCAGUGUUGAGAUAUAAACUGAGUGUAUUAUUUCAAAUGUAGUAAUAAAAAUUUGGUAAUAUUUGAAAUGAGUAAUUAAAAAAUAAACCAAGUUAUCAACAUUGGUGUUUGAUUAGAUUAUCGACAAUCAUAAACAUCAUACAAGUUUGUUUACUAAAUUAAAUUAAAAAAAUGAUUAGAAAACGAAGACUAUGACCUAUCUGUAUGUGAUUAAUCAACUACUGUACUUAGAAAUUUCCUAAUUUAGCUAAAGUUUUGUGAAACCUUUCCAGUGAAAUCUAGAUCAAAUAUGACUAAACUUAGUAGUCAACAAAAAGUUUUAGUUAUUGAUUGAUCAAUUAACUGUAGUAAAUCAUAUAUUAAAUCUAUUACAUAUAUAAAAACUAAAUGUCGGUAAGAAUUAUAAUUGUACCAUUUCCCCUCCAAAAGACAUAUACUAUCAUCCAAUAGAUUUUACAUAGAGUAUACUAACUGAUUUUAGUUAUUGAUUGAUCAAUAACUCUAGUUAUUGGAUUUCUAAUCAAUUUUAAUAAUCGUUCUUGUUGUUUGUAGGAUGCUUGCUUCAUUAUGAAGUACUCCCCCGUCCCAUGAAGCAUGACACAGUUCUUUUCGACACGAGAAUUAAAAAAUUUGUAUUUUGUGUGCUAAGUGUGGUAGGUGAAAAAGUGAAAAUAUGAAUAAAGGGUAAAUUUUUUGUCAUUUUUAGAAACGUGUCAUAUUUCGUGAGACGGACCAAAAAGGAAACUGUGUCAUGCUUCGUGAGACGGAGAGAGUAGUAAAUUUUACGACCUAUAUAUGUACUUACAAUUUUUCUUCAUGUUAUCAAUGGAGCAUCUUUGUUUAACUAAAUUUUUUUUAUUAAUUACCUUUUCACUAUCUCCUAUUAAAAUCACUAAACUAACAAUAACGAAAACUCAAAAAUAGAUACUUUGCCUUGCAAAAAGUUUGUCUCCCAGUCCAUUAUUUGUGUUAGUUUAGUAUAGUUAUGUAAAUUUUCCUUUUAAAAACAGUACAGUUAUGUAAAUAUAGACAAAUCCAAGGCUAUUAUUAUAUCACACCAACUGUCACUCACUCUCACUCACUCACCCCUACAACAUAAAACUCGACAAAAAUUGUCCGAACUCGCAAACUAAAUCUUUUAUUACAAUGGCAAAAAUUGCACCAGAUCCUUCUCCCCUCCUCAUCUUCCUCCUCCUCCUCCUCCACCACGCCACCGCCGCAAUGCCCCCACUCGUCGCCGUCCGCCCCACCCCUCUCCACCCUACCCGAAACCCCCUCCGAUCCUCCCCACUUUCCUCCUCAACCCUCGACCCAAACCAGCUCCGACGCACUCCAAUCCCUCAACAUCCCCACCUCCAAAGACCCNAACUACAUAAAAUAUAAUUUAAUACGUUGUUGAGAUAUAAACUCUUUAUGUAUACCAUUAAUUAUCUUUUCAAAUACAUAAAAUACUAAUUUUAUUCAGUGUUGAGAUAUAAACUGAGUGUAUUAUUUCAAAUGUAGUAAUAAAAAUUUGGUAAUAUUUGAAAUUAGUAAUUAAAAAAUAAACCAAGUUAUCAACAUUGGUGUUUGAUUAGAUUAUCGACAAUCAUAAACAUCAUACAAGUUUGUUUAACUAAAUUGAAUAAAAAAAAUGAUUAGAAAACGAAGACUAUGACCUAUCUGUAUGUGAUUAAUCAACUGCUGUACUUAGAAAUUUCCUAAUUUAGCUAAACGUUUUUGUGAAACCUUUCCAGUGAAAUCUAGAUCAAAUAUAUAGGUGACUUAGUAGUCAACAAAAAGUUUUAGUUAUUGAUUGAUCAAUUAACUGUAGUAAAUGAUCAUACAUUAAAUCUAUAACAUAUAUAAAAACUAAAUGUUGGUAAGAAUUAUAAUUGUACCAUUUUCCCUCCAAAAGACACAUACUAUCAUCCAAUAGAUUUUUCAUGAAUUAUUGUCCAACAAAUAUUUCAUUGAUAUAUAAUUGACAUUUUGUUCCAUUUUCUUUAUAUCUCUAUCAUUUUGUGAGGCUAUUGUUGAUAUUAAAUUGGAGUUCGAUACCUAAACUCUAUAAGAUAUUAAUAUAAUUGUCAUAUUAUUUUACUUGAUAAUUUUAGGACGAAUCAUCUACCAAAAAUAAAUGUAAAAUAACACAUGCAGCACAUUUAAUAUGCACACGAGUAGUCAAAAUUCUAUGGUGAUGGAUUUGGAGUACUUGCUAUUAUUAUUUAUUGGUGCAUUGUUUAAUUUUUAUAUAUUAUAGAUGAACUUUUAUAUUAUAGCGAAUUAUUAUCAUUUAUUCAAUAAUAAGUUCUAUUAAUAAAAGUUCAUUACGUGCAUCGCAGGAUUAAUAUAAUACUAGUUAAAAAUAGUAACUUAACGAAUUACACUUAAUACUCUCACAAAAUCUAUUUGGAAUAUAUCCGAUCACUAUCAUCUAAGACUAUUAACCUUUUGAUUGGAACCAACACUUUACAAUUCAAAAUUACAAUCCUUUGGUUUAGAUAUGAGACUUCGGAAAGUGACAUACUUGCAUUGGAUUUCUAAUCAAUUUUAAUAAUCGUUCUUGUUGUUCGUAGGAUGCUUGCUUCAUUAUGAAGUAAAUUUUACGACCUAUAUAUGUACUUACAAUUUUUCUUCAUAUUAUCAAUGGAGCAUCUUUGUUUAACUAAAAUUUUUUUAUUACCUUUUCACUAUCUCCUAUUAAAAUCACUAAACUAACAAUAACGAAAACUCAAAAAUAGAUACUUUGCCUUGCAAAAUUUUGUCUCCCAGUCCAUUAUUUGUGUUAGUUUAGCAUAGUUAUGUAAAUUUUCCUUUUAAAAACAGUACAGUUAUGUAAAUAUAGACAAAUCCAAGGCUAUUAUUAUAUCACACCAACUGUCACUCACUCUCACUCACUCACUCACCCCUACAACAUAAAACUCGACAAAAAUUGUCCGAACUCGCAAACUAAAUCUUUUAUUACAAUGGCAAAAAUUGCACCAGAUCCUUCUCCCCUCCUCAUCUUCCUCCUCCUCCUCCUCCACCACGCCACCGCCGCAAUGCCCCCCACCUCGUCGCCGUCCGCCCCCACCCCCUCCUCCACCCCUACCCCGAAACCCCCCUCCCGAUCCUCCCCCAUUUCCUCCUCAACCCUCGACCCCAAACAGCUCCGAGCACUCCAAUCCCUCAACAUCCCCACCUCCAAAGACCCCUGCUCCCCAUCGCCGCCGCACUCCGCCGCCGCAUCCUGCGACUCCUCCGCCCCCUUCCGCCACCUCCUCUCCCUCACCCUCUCCAACUGCUCCGAAGACGUGGCCCUCUCCCUCACCGCCCUCAAAUCCCUCUCCACCCUCACAUCCCUCAGCUUCGUCAACUGCCCCGUCACGCCCAUCAGAUUCCCCGCCGAGCUCACCUCGAAUCUCCACAGCUUCACCUGCAUCAACAGCCUCGAGAAACUCACCGGCGUCUGGCUCAGCCGCCUGCAGAAUGUCACCGACCUCACCGUGUCGCACGUCGGCGUCACCGCCAGCGGCCCCACAAUCAUCCUCGGCGGCAUGAAAUUCUUGCAUUCCGUCACUCUCUCGCACACCAAUCUCUCCGGCUAUCUCCCCAAACACUGGCAUCCCAACCUCACCUUCGUCGAUUUAUCCGCCAAUCAUCUCAGGGGAAAGAUACCCAUUUCUCUCACCCGCCUCGAGAAUCUCGUGCAUCUGAAUCUCUCUUCCAAUUCCCUCAACGAAACGAUUCCGACCACCAUUGGCGACUUGAGCUCCUUGCAGAAUCUUUCUCUCGCGUCGAAUUCGCUAUCUGGGCCGAUUCCGGAAUCCUUAGCUGCAUUGCCGGCGCUGACGCAUCUUGAUCUGAGCUCCAAUCAGCUGAAUGGGACGAUACCCAAUUUCAUCAGAGACAUGAAGAAGCUGAAGUACUUGAAUCUCGCGAGCAACAGCUUCCAUGGCGUCUUGCCUUUCAAUGCGACGUUUAUAAAGAGAUUGGAGGUGUUCAAGGUGGGUGCAAACUCCAAUCUUUGUUACAAUCACACGGUUUUGGGGUCGAAGGUGAAGCUUGGGAUCGCUGCCUGUGAUAAACACGGGCUGCCGCUGUCGCCGCCGCCGGCGAAGAAUUCGGCGGCCGAUGAUUCGAGUGAUGGCUCCGACGACGAUUAUGAUGAUGACAAUGUGUUGGAAAAGAAGCAUCACAAUGGGCCCAGUAAGGUUGUUCUUGGUGUUGCAAUUGGGCUUUCUGCCAUUGUGUUUUUGAUUGUUUUCUUGGUUCUUUUAUCUAAAUGCUGUAAAUGAAAUUGAAUUCUUUUCUUGGUUGAUUAGGUUAGGGGGAAUUAUUGUGACCUUCAAAAGAUGAGUUUAUUGAGUUUGUUUCUAUGAUUUAUUUUGGUGAAAAGAAUUUCGAGAAAGAGAGAGGGAUGAUUCUUUUGUGUGUGAUUCUGUUGACUACUUUUUUCUUAAUUUAUUGCUUUGAGCAGAAAGACUGAUAUCUGCUCCGACAUUUACUUGUGAUGUGGAGAAGAGUGAAAAAG
rnacentral:lncRNA from 1 species